ACUGGGCAGGGCUGCAGCAAUGGACGGGGCUCUGUGUGUGUCCCCCGGGCUUGCUUCUGUGUCUGUGCGCCGGCUGGUGUGUCAGCAGGCCGGUUGGUGAUGGUGUGCACAACGGGAACCUGUCUCCACGUGCUGUCUCAUCCUCGCCUGGCCGAAAGCAAGCUUGGUCAUGUGCAGGGGCAGACUUCCAAAAAACCAAAAUCCUGCCAGGGGCCCACCGGUUACCACCUGAUCUGUUCACAGGGAUCCUGUCAAGGACCCUGGGGGAGUAUCAUCUCUGCCUCCAGCGACUAGAGACAUGAAAAGCCCCAGCCAGCCAGUGAUUAGAAAAAGGGAGGUUCUUCUGCUCCUGUUUUAGUCAAACUGUGACACUGCUCUCCUCUCUCUGUCUUCUUCUUAAAGUCCCUCCCUAUUUCUCUCUCUCACCCAUGGUGAUUUCUAACAGAUAUGGAUUACUGGACACCAGCAAGGAAAAAGAUAAGUCAGAACUGCUUUCGUCAGAUAGCCAAUAGAGAAGAAAUAAGUCCAUUUCUCUCAUUUUGGGCUGGGAUCAUGGUCAUGCGCACUGUCCCAUGUUCUGGCAUGGGUAUUCUAUGUAAAUUGCUUAGCUCAGUGCCCAGGGUGGAGUAAGUGGUUCAGUACAGGGGGUGGGGGCCUCAGAAGCAGAAGCAAUUACAAUUACUGUGGCUAAUGUGUUUGGGGAUGGAAACUUUUGAGCAGACCUCUACUGCCUUAGAAUUGGCUGGUGGGCUCUACCAGUAUGAUCUUUAAAAACAAAGAAACAAAUAAACAACUAUCUGUUUUAGCGCA